rnacentral:rRNA from 1 species
GACGAACGCUGGCGGCGUGCCUAAUACAUGCAAGUAGAACGCUGAAGAGAGGAGCUUGCUCUUCUUGGAUGAGUUGCGAACGGGUGAGUAACGCGUAGGUAACCUGCCUUGUAGCGGGGGAUAACUAUUGGAAACGAUAGCUAAUACCGCAUAACAAUGGAUGACACAUGUCAUUUAUUUGAAAGGGGCAAUUGCUCCACCACAAGAUGGACCUGCGUUGUAUUAGCUAGUAGGUGAGGUAAUGGCUCACCUAGGCGACGAUACAUAGCCGACCUGAGAGGGUGAUCGGCCACACUGGGACUGAGACACGGCCCAGACUCCUACGGGAGGCAGCAGUAGGGAAUCUUCGGCAAUGGGGGCAACCCUGACCGAGCAACGCCGCGUGAGUGAAGAAGGGUUUCGGAUCGUAAAGCUCUGUUGUAAGUCAAGAACGGGUGUGAGAGUGGAAAGUUCACACUGUGACGGUAGCUUACCAGAAAGGGACGGCUAACUACGUG